rnacentral:rRNA from 1 species
UACCAGCUCCUCGAGUGGUCGGGGCGAUUAUUGGGCCUAAAGCAUCCGUAGCCGGUUUCGUAGGUCCUCUGUUAAAUCCAUCAGCUCAACUGAUGACCUGCAGAGGAUACCGCGAGACUAGGAGGCGGGAGAGGCGGACGGUACUCCGCGUGUAGGGGUAAAAUCCUUUGAUCCGCGGAAGACCACCAGUGGCGAAGGCGGUCCGCCAGAACGCGCUCGACGGUGAGGGAUGAAAGCUGGGGGAGCGAACCGG